GGGGUUGUGGCUCAGAGGUAGAGUGCUCGCCUAGCAUGUGUGAGGCACUGGGUUUGAUCCUCAGAACCACA
rnacentral:tRNA from 1 species